rnacentral:pre_miRNA from 1 species
GUGUUACUCCCUUCGUCCCAAAAUUCUUGUCUUAUAUUUGUCUAGAUACGGAUGUAUCAAGUCACAUUUUAGUAUUAGAUACAUUCGUAUCUAGACAAAUCUAAGAUAAGAAUUUUGAGACGGAGGGAGUACUUU